rnacentral:lncRNA from 1 species
AUUUUGUUUCAAUGAUAUUUAUUUGAUAAUUAAUUUCGAGAGAUGAAUAGCUAUCGUGUACUUCAGAAACAAGGUGAAAGGAUGACCACGCCCCCAUAGUGGGGACAUACAAAAUAAAGAUGACCGUUCUCCAUUUCUACUCGAUAGAAGUGCCUAAUUUUUUCAUAACAUCUGCAUUAUGUACCAAAGAUUCUAAAAUGAAAGUAUAAAAAAAAUCGAGGCGGAGAUUUUUUAGAAUCAUCUAAUAAUUAUAGCAGACCAAUAGACGUAAUAGAGAAAUAGGCGAAAAUGGCGUCUUCUUCAAUUUCGAAAAAAAAUCUAUAAUUUUACAAUUUAUUGACACAUAUUGAUAUUUUUAUAGGGGUUAUAUAUAUAAGGAUUCAGCUAUUCUUGUUAGUUGAAUGAAUAUUUACUUUAAUAACAGAAUCUUUUCCAAUUUCUAAUUCUACCGGCCAUGCAAGGAAAAACCUUCAAAAAAAUUAGACCCCUACUUUAAAAUGGGUACAAUUUUUUGCCCUACUUUGGACACCCCUUUUCU